rnacentral:rRNA from 1 species
GACGAACGCUGGCGGCGUGCUUAACGCAUGCAAGUCGAACGAUGAAGCCGGAGCUUGCUCUGGUGAAUUAGUGGCGAACGGGUGAGUAACACGUGAGUAACCUGCCCUUGACUCUGGGAUAACUGCGGGAAACUGUAGCUAAUACCGGAUACGACCCUCGGAGGCAUCUCCUGGGGGUGGAAAGAAUUUCGGUCAAGGAUGGACUCGCGGCCUAUCAGCUAGUUGGUGAGGUAAAGGCUCACCAAGGCGACGACGGGUAGCCGGCCUGAGAGGGUGACCGGCCACACUGGGACUGAGACACGGCCCAGACUCCUACGGGAGGCAGCAGUGGGGAAUAUUGCACAAUGGGCGCAAGCCUGAUGCAGCAACGCCGCGUGAGGGAUGACGGCCUUCGGGUUGUAAACCUCUUUUAGCAGGGAAGAAGCGAAAGUGACGGUAGGUGCAGAAGAAGGACCGGCCAACUACGUGCCAGCCGCCGCAGUAA